rnacentral:rRNA from 1 species
CUUCGGUCCGAGUUGUAAUUUGCAGAGGAUGUUUAUGGUGCGGUACCUUCCGAGUUCCCUGGAACGGGACGCCACAGAGGGUGAGAGCCCCGUCUGGUUGGAUACCAAACCUGUGUUAAACUCCUUCAACGAGUCGAGUAGUUUGGGAAUGCUGCUCUAAAUGGGAGGUAAAUCUCUUCUAAAGCUAAAUACCGGCCAGAGACCGAUAGCGCACAAGUAGAGUGAUCGAAAGAUGAAAAGCACCUUGAAAAGGGGGUUAAACAGUACGUGAAAUUGUUAAAAGGGAAGCGUUUAUGACCAGACUUGUGUCGUGUGGCUCAUCCGAGGUUCUCCCCGGUGCACUCCACACGGCUCAGGCCAACAUCGGUUCUCGUUGGGGGAUAAGAACAGUAGGAACGUGGCCCCUCUCGGGGGGUGUUAUAGCCUAUUGUACGAUACCCUGAUGGGGACCGAGGACCGCGCUUCGGCUAGGAUGUUGGCGUAAUGGUCAUUAGCGACCCGUCUUGAAACACGGACCAAGGAGUCGUCCAUUAGAGCGAGCGUUUGGGUGUUAAACCCGCACGCGUAAUGAAAGUGAAAUUAGGUGAGAGCUUCGGCGCAUCAUCGACCGAUCCUGAAGUUUACGGAUGGAUUUGAGUAAGAGUUUUAACGGACGGACCCGAAAGACAGUGAACUAUGCUUGAAUAGGGUGAAGCCAGAGGAAACUCUGGUGGAGGCUCGCAGCGGUUCUGACGUGCAAAUCGAUCGUCAAAUUUGAGCAUGGGGG